UCAUCGCGCUUGUUGAAAAGCCAGUGGCGCGAAGCUACCGUGCGUUGGAUUAUGACUGAACGCCUCUAAGUCAGAAUCCGGGCUAGACCGACGCAUGCGCUCGUCGCCGUUUGCCGACCCGCAGUAGGGGCCAUUUGGCCCCCAAGGGCACGUGUCGUUGGCUAAGCCGUCGUGGGCGGAAGGGUCACGGUGGCCCGCCUUGAAUUACAAUUCCGAUCGAGGCGGCGAGCUGAAUCCUUUGCAGACGACUUAAAUACGCGACCGGGGUAUUGUAAGGGUAGAGUGGCCUUGCUGCCACGCAUCCUCUGAGAUUCAGCCCUUUGUCGCUCCGAUUCGU
rnacentral:ncRNA from 1 species